rnacentral:rRNA from 1 species
UACGGAGUGUGCAAGCGUUACUCGGAAUCACUGGGCAUAAAGCGCGCGUAGGCGGGUUUUCAAGUCGGUUGUGAAAUCCCUCAGCUCAACUGAGGAACUGCAUCCGAUACUGUCUGUCUUGAGGACGAGAGGGGAAAGUGGAACUUCUGGUGGAGCGGUGAAAUGCGUAGAUAUCAGAAGGAACGCCGGUGGCGAAAGCGACUUUCUGGCUCGUAUCUGACGCUGAGGCGCGAAAGCUUGGGUAGCAAACGGG